rnacentral:rRNA from 1 species
GACGAACGCUGGCGGCGUGCUUAACACAUGCAAGUCGAGCGGUAAGGCCCUUUCGGGGGUACACGAGCGGCGAACGGGUGAGUAAUACGUGGGUGACCUACCCUCGAGUGGGGAAUAACCCGCCGAAAGGCGGGCUAAUGCCGCGUACGCUUCCGUCCUCACGGGGACGGAAGGAAAGCUGUACCGUGGGUACGGCGCUCAAGGAUGGGCUCACGUCCUAUCAGCUUGUUGGUAGGGUAACGGCCUACCAAGGCUACGACGGGAGCUGGUCUGAGAGGACGAUCAGCCACACUGGCACUGCGACACGGGCCAGACUCCUACGGGAGGCAGCAGUGAGGAAUAUUGCGCAAUGGGCGAAAGCCUGACGCAGCGACGCCGCGUGGGGAUGAAGGUCUUCGGAUUGUAAACCCCUUUCGGGAGGGAAGAUGGGACGGGCAACCGGUUCGACGGUACCUCCAGAAGCAGCCACGGCUAACUUCGUGCC